rnacentral:rRNA from 1 species
UAGGGAAUCUUCCACAAUGGACGCAAGUCUGAUGGAGCAACGCCGCGUGAGUGAAGAAGGUUUUCGGAUCGUAAAGCUCUGUUGUUGGUGAAGAAGGAUAGAGGUAGUAACUGGCCUUUAUUUGACGGUAAUCAACCAGAAAGUCACGGCUAACUACGUGCCAGCAGCCGCGGUAAUACGUAGGUGGCAAGCGUUGUCCGGAUUGAUUGGGCGUAAAGCGAGCGCAGGCGGAAGAAUAAGUCUGAUGUGAAAGCCCUCGGCUUAACCGAGGAACUGCAUCGGAAACUGUUUUUCUGGAGUGCAGAAGAGGAGAGUGGAACUCCAUGUGUAGCGGUGGAAUGCGUAGAUAUAUGGAAGAACACCAGUGGCGAAGGCGACUCUCUGGUCUGCAACUGACGCUGAGGCUCGAAAGCAUGGGUAGCGAACAGG